rnacentral:lncRNA from 1 species
CUAGAAGAGAAGCUUCUAGUUUUAAUGCUACUGAGUAAAUUAUCCAAAAAAUUCAACCCAUAUGAAAUUACAUAAAAGGAAGAUUGAAAAAAUAUGACCCAUCAGAGAAAUGCCCAAUUAUAAAUCCAUGCCCCAAAGCUGAAAUCCAGAGCCUUUAAUAGCAGCAAAAAUAUUUGCUGACCUUUUGUUUUUGUAUUGAAUGACCAUUCCACUCUUCUCUGAUAGAAAUCCUAUUAUGUUUCAAGUUUCAAAAGUCAUGCCUUUUCGUUACCUUACUCUCUCUGUGUUUUUAUUCCAGCUACAUGUCCUGAAUCAUCAUCAUGUUUUCUUUUAAAUACUUACUUAUUUUUCUAUAUUGUAUAAGGCUCUGUCUAGGACAAGGCCAAGUCUUAUUCCUUGUAUUUAAACAUCCACUUAGUGUGAUUUAAAACAGAGUAAUAGCUCAAGACAUGUUUGUUGAAAAGACAUCAAGAUUGCAUUCAUUUUCUGGUCAUAGCUGUCUUACUAAUCACCUAAAUGAUUACCAUUUAAAAAUUCAUAUAUGAUUUAUAAUACUGAAAAUUUUGUGGACUCCAGUAUGACAGUUGGGUUUCUAAUAACUAUACUUGAGACAAAAAUGGCAUCAAAAUCUAUUUUGAUUGCCGUAAUGCUUUUAAAUAAACAUAGAGGCAAGCAGAAUUUGUGUAAUUUCUCAAAACCAGCAAUACACAUAUGUUUAUGACCAGUUGUUCAGCCUAUAGAAAUUGGUGUGCAUAUGUAUUUCUAACAGCCUGAUAAUAAAUAUGUUACUCCUGAAGAGGGCUUUGCUAUUGUGGAUGGGAAGAUGAUUUUAUAUAAAUACAUAAGUUACAUCUUUCUGUAGAAACUUUGUCUCAUAUUACAGUGUCAGAUUCAGUGUUGAGUUGUUGGCACUAUAAUAAUGAAUAGCAAUUUUCACAUGAAAGAUUUUAUAAAAUCCUUUCAUUCUUCAGCUUACUACCCACACAAGAGAACAAUUUGGUUCAAGUACUUAAAAUGACAUAUUUAGUGGCACCUGGAUGGUUCAGUCAGUUGAGGGACUGACUCUUGUUUUUGGCUCAGGGUCUGGGGAUCGAGACCCGUGUCGUUCUCUGCACUCAGUGGGGUCUACUGAAGAUUCUUUCUCUUUUCCUCUGCCUCUCUCCCCCCUCACACACAUUCUGUCUCUGUCUCUCUCAAUCAAUCAAAUCUUAAAAAAUAACAUAUUUAAAAAUAGUAAUUUGUCAUGAGGCUUUCUUUAAGCCAUCGAUGUUUUUGGCACAUGAAACUGGCUUUCUCACAUAAAAAAGACCAUUUUUUUUUUAAUUAUGAAGAACAUAGUGUGUUUCAGGGAGAAACCAUGUUUAAAGCAUCUCCUUUUGUCAAUGUCAUUAGGCUUACCUAAUCAGAGCUUUCAUUCAAUGUCUGCAAAAUUUAGAGUGUCUCUAAGCACAAAAUCUAUGUAUGCCAAUAUACAGAACACGUGGUGUUUCUAUUUCAAGGAAAAAUUGUGUUUACCCUAUUACCUGUCAUCAUAAUACCCGUCGGAAUUGUUGUUGUAAGUCAUUCAUCAUCUUAGAAGUAAAUAAUUUUCUUGAUGUGUUGUAGGAAAAAUACAUCAAUACAGAGAAUGAUGAUGGUGUGAUUAUAGUAAUUAUCACAUGUAACAUGGGUAGUUACUACUAUUUACUUCUGUUCUAAUUCAUUAUAGAGCUAGUAAAAGUCACACUAAGGAGGAUAUCCAAGGUGAAAUAACAUUAAGGAAUUUUUGUUCACUGGAAAUGAAAUGAAUAAAGGCUUUGAAGUAGAUUUGAUUUAUAGUUUUUUUCUGGCUAAACUCUAGGGCAAAUUUUAAUUAGCUAUAUUAUGAUUUUGAGAGGAAUUAAAAUAACUUUCAACUGGAAACAGUAUUAUAAAUAGUCAUCUAAAAGAUGAGAAAGUCAAGAAGAUAAUAGAUAUUAAAAUGUUCUAUUAUUCCAAAAGUUAACAUUUGUGUUGUUGAUUAUAAUUUUCUUUUACUAGAUCCUGGAUUAUCCACAGGCAGAAAUCACUUUAUUGUUAUUUUUCUUGUAAUGCCAAACAAAGUGGUAUAUGGAAUAUAUUGGCAUAUGGGAAGUGAUCAUGUGUGCUGAGUCUCAUACUGGUGUGAGAGAUCUGAUUGUUAGAUUUUCAGGAAUUGUACAGACUGGUGUUGUCUUGGUAGCUUGACAUCAGGCAUGGUGGGAAUAUUUAUAACAGAAUUAGUCAAGAAGAAGGCUUUUCCCCAGAGAGCAGAUUAUUAAACAUUUACUGGCAUACCACCAGAAAGCUUUCAAUAAAUGGUAAAUGGACAAAGAAUGAGUGAUUGGUUUUAAAAAUAGUGAUAAUCUACAAUAAUACAAAGAAAUACAAACUACUCAUGAAAUAAACACACAGCAUUAAAUAAGAUAAAAUAUUUGGAAUUUGGUGUCAUAUAGGCUUCCCAUUCUAAUGUGGACUCUAGCGCUGACUAGUUGUGUAUUCUUGUGCAAGAAAUUUAGACUCUUUGAGGUGGAAGUCUCUUCCAACAUGUGAGGAUACAAGGAAAAGUCUGCAACCUGGAGGAGGGUCCUCACUCAACCAUGUGGCACCUCAAUCUUGGACUUCCGGCCCAAAGAACUGUUUUGAACUAAAAGCCAACAAAGAUUAAGUGGAUAAUGAUAAAAAUGAACACCCAUUUUCUUUAAAAACAAUUAGAUUAGGAGUGUGUACAAAGGCUGAAUUGCAUAUUUUUGAUGCAGAGGCAUUCAAUUAUGAAGGUAAUCCUAGUUACAUACCACUGGCAACUUUGAAAAUGUCUGUACAGCUUGUGGUUUCCCUCAGGCUUUGAAAUAAUACCCUGUGGUCUUAUGUAUGGUUUGGGGUCUGUGCAUAUUAGUGGACAGUGUUUAGUGACUGUAGGCAAAGAUACAAAGUAAUGUGAAAUCCCUAAGUAUAUACGGAAAGUGAUCUGCUCCUGGAAGUGGUAGCAAGUUUCUACGGG